rnacentral:lncRNA from 1 species
AUCAUUUCUAUCUCUUUAAGGAUAGUCUCUAUCUAUGCGAUGAGUCACUGCUCCCACACCUUCCUUUAAUUCUUUAAGAAUGGUUUCUUUUAGUUUUUGAACUAAGAAAAUAAAAUCAUAGCUUCUUUGAAGUCUUUGUCUGCUAAGUUCAGUAACUGGGCCCCUCCAAAAGCAGUCUCUACUGCCCAGUUUCUCUAACAUGUCCCAUAAUUUUCUGUUGAAAAAUGGACAUUUUAGGUAAUAUACUGUAGCAACUCUGGUUACUGGUUACUCCCUCCCCACCAGAGGUUAUCUGUUUGUUUGUUUACUUGGCUGGACUAAUUCUGUGUAAGUCUACUUUCCCUACAGGGUACAGCUGUUGAUGUCUCUGCUCAGAUAUUUCUCCCUUUUAUAUACUUUAGUCUGGCUUGCUAGGGAUCACCCAUGGGACAGCAUAAGACACUUACUGGUCAAAGGUUGUGCUUAAGUCCCCUUAGCUAGUUAGAUUUUCAUCCUCUACCAUGACGUUUGGGGCUUAGAGACUACUUUCACAGUUCAGAGAGCAAGGGACGGUGGGAAGGUCUGAAUAUAAAGAUGCCGCACAGGAGCUGGAAUUAUUAUGUAUCCUGGCUGUGCUGGUGGCCAUAAAAACCUGAGCAUGUGUAAAACCGCAUACCACUGUACACCAGAAAAAGUGAACUUUACUGUAUAUAAAUUUUUAAGUGACUGGAUUUGUCUUUUAAGAAAAGAUACCUCGACACCUGUACUGCUCUUACACAGCUGAAUCCAAUGUGAUCACUUGGGUUCUUAAAAGUUCAGUACUUAAUAUUUAAUAGGGAGACAGAAAACAAAAUCUUUCUUAUUAUACUAUUGCCUACUGGGGGUCAUUUCUUCUCAGAACACAAUACAAACUAAACUUAAAAAACCAUAUCCUUCUAAUGCUUAAUAGUUAGUAUGAUAUGGUCAAGCUUUUAUACCUGACCAAAGAAGUCUCUUCUGGAUUAGGCAUCGUCAUUUUCCUUCAAGUAAAAAUUCUGGAUUUCCUUAAUUGUUACUGACAAGGCCCACAGAGCCUGAAGACACUAAGACUUAAAGAUCCAGGAAAAAUCAAGCGAAUGUAUACAAAAGUAGGGAUGGCAAAAAUCAGGCCUGACAGACGGGGUGUGAGGCUGGACGCACUGCCUGCCGGGUCCCCAGGGAUCCUCAAGUCUGCACAGCAGGCUGAGGCACACAGUGACAGAACAACUCAGCGAGCCUCUCUUCCCACACCAGCCGCCACUUUAAUUUCAGGUCAAGUUGAAAGCAAUCCCUCUUUUUUUUUUUUAAACCUUUACGACAGUAGAUGAGCUCAUUUAUAACUCCCAACCACCUCGCUACUCUCAUUUUUGCUUUUAAUCUUCAGAGUGAAGGCAAAAACAAACAAAACAAAAAGGGAAUGAACAAACAAAAAAACAAAAAGGAAGAAACUCAGUCCAAAUUUUUAAGCCAAGAUUCAUUCUCUUGCUCUUACAAAAGCCACCCUUUCCCUCGACAGCCACCAGUUUCCUGCCUUUUCUAGUGUAGCCUGUAGUUUCACGAAAUACUUUUAUCUGCUUUAUCCCUUUUAUUUUAUUUUAUUUUAUUUUUUUAUAAAUUCAUUUAUUUAUUUUUGGCUGUGUUGGGUCUUCGUUGCUGCACGCAGGCUUUCUCUAGUUGCGGCAAGCGGGGGCUACUCUUCGUUGCGAGCACGGGCUCUAGGCACACGGGCUUCAGCAGUUGUGGCGCACGGGCUUACUUGUUCUGCGGCAUGUGGGAUCUUCCCAGACUAGGGCUCGAACCUGUGUCCCCUGCAUCGGCAGAUGGAUUUUUAACCAUUGCGCCUCCAGGGAAGUCCCUGCUUUACCCCUUUUAAAAAGAUGCUCUCUUUCUUCCUUCGUGCCACUCAACUGGCAAAGCCUUCUAUUAAUCAAACUGUGACCACCUGCUUAUUCGUCUUGAUACACAUCUGUGCUCUCGCUGUGUGCGGAUAGCUCUGUGUCUCACUGAAGUUGGAACCACUUGGUGGCAAGGAUGUGCGUAAGUGGCCUCCACGGUCCUCACUGGGAACAGGGCUCCAUCCACUGAGUAUCUGACUAUCUGGGUUAAACGGUUCACCCACUGCUCUCUUCCCCUCCCCUGCCCAGCGAAAAUGAAGAUAAACCCAUGGGAGAUGUGCCUUUACUUCCUCGGGGAGGCAAGAGUGUGGAGAAGGAUUACGAGAUUAUUCCUACUGUGUAAGUGCAGGAGAAAGAGACGAAGAUGAUGAAGAAAGGAAAGCGAGGAUGAGGAGAAGAAUGCUUCUUGUAAAGAUAAAAGCAGUAGGAAGGAAAGUUGAAAAACCAGCUUUCUCCGUUCUCAGGAUUCCAGGAAACACUCCUGAUGAGUAACAGAGGUUCUGAACCAAAGACUCGGUCAAAACAUGGCUGUACAGGAUCCUAGAUUCCUUCUGGUUUCUCAAGGCUCUUUGGCUUUAAAUUAAGCUUAAGGUAUCAGUCCUAUUGAAAGUGGAUUCAACUGAAUCUCAGUCCAGACCUCCGUCUUCAAGUGAAUGUGGGGAUGGAUCCACUCAUUUGGGCCGAGGCUUAGGAAUAGACUGAAACGAGAGGCCCUUUACAUAACCAUCAAAAGGACUUACCCUCUCGACUCACCAUACAAAGCUGGUAGAAAGGGAGGUCUCCUGCUUCUGCUCAAGACUUUCUUAAAUCAACGGCCACCCGUACCAAAACACCUCC